rnacentral:rRNA from 1 species
CUAUUGGAUCCAGACUUUGAUUCUGGCUCAGGAUGAACGCUAGCUACAGGCUUAACACAUGCGAGUCGAGGGGAAACGACAUCGAAAGCUUGCUUUUGAUGGGCGUCGACCGGCGCACGGGUGAGUAACGCGUAUCCAACCUGCCCACCACUUGGGGAUAACCUUGCGAAAGUAAGACUAAUACCCAAUGAUAUCUCUAGAAGACAUCUGAAGGAGAUUAAAGAUUUAUCGGUGAUGGAUGGGGAUGCGUCUGAUUAGCUUGUUGGCGGGGUAACGGCCCACCAAGGCGACGAUCAGUAGGGGUUCUGAGAGGAAGGUCCCCCACAUUGGAACUGAGACACGGUCCAAACUCCUACGGGAGGCAGCAGUGAGGAAUAUUGGUCAAUGGGCGAGAGCCUGAACCAGCCAAGUAGCGUGCAGGAUGACGGCCCUAUGGGUUGUAAACUGCUUUUAUAAGGGAAUAAAGUGAGCCUCGUGAGGCUUUUUGCAUGUACCUUAUGAAUAAGGACCGGCUAAUUCCGUGCCAGCAGCCGCGGUAAUACGGAAGGUCCGGGCGUUAUCCGGAUUUAUUGGGUUUAAAGGGAGCGUAGGCCGGAGAUUAAGCGUGUUGUGAAAUGUAGAUGCUCAACAUUUGCACUGCAGCGCGAACUGGUUUCCUUGAGUACGCACAAAGUGGGCGGAAUUCGUGGUGUAGCGGUGGAAUGCUUAGAUAUCACGAAGAACUCCGAUUGCGAAGGCAGCUCACUGGAGCGCAACUGACGCUGAAGCUUGAAAGUGCGGGUAUCGAACAGGAUUAGAUACCCUGGUAGUCCGCACGGUAAACGAUGGAUGCCCGCUGUUGGUCUGAAUAGGUCAGCGGCCAAGCGAAAGCAUUAAGCAUCCCACCUGGGGAGUACGCCGGCAACGGUGCAACUCAAAUGAAUUGACGGA